rnacentral:rRNA from 1 species
UUCCCGGGCUUGUACACACCGCCCGUCACACCACGAAAGUCGGCAAUACCCGAAGCCGGUGGCCUAACCCGCAAGGGAGGGAGCCGUCGAAGGUAGGGUUGAUGAUUGGGGUG